rnacentral:rRNA from 1 species
CCUACGGGUGGCAGCAGUGAGGAAUAUUGGUCAAUGGGCGGAAGCCUGAACCAGCCACGUCGCGUGAGGGAUUAAGGCCCUGCGGGUCGUAAACCUCUUUUGCCGGGGAGCAGAGUUCCGGACGUGUCCGGGCCGGGAUAGUACCUGGAGAAAAAGCAUCGGCUAACUCCGUGCCAGCAGCCGCGGUAAUACGUAGGAUGCGAGCGUUAUCGGGAUUUAUUUGGUUUAAGGGGUGCGUAGGCGGGCAUUUAAGCCGGCGGUAAAAUGUCGGGGCUAACUCCCGGCCUGCCGUCGGAACUGGGUGCCUUGAGUGGGCGAGAGGUAUGCGGAAUGCGUGGUGUAGGGGUGAAAUUCAUAGAUAUCACGCAGAACCCCGAUUGCGAAGGCAGCAUACCGGCGCCCUACUGACGCUGAGGAACGAAAGUGCGGGUAUCGAACAGGAUUAGAUACCCCUGUAGUC